rnacentral:misc_RNA from 1 species
AAGGAUAUAUUCGGAACAUCUUCUUCAGAAGAUGCGGAAUAAYGUGACAUAUUGUAUUCAGUUUUGAAUGUUUAUUUAACAUUCAAAUAUUUUUUGGUUAAAGUGAUAUUGCUUAUGCGAGCGCUUGACAAUCUAUUCUUUUUAAAGAAAGCGAUUGUCAGACAAUGCAUUAAGAAAAAUUAAAGCGGAGUUUACUUUUGUAAAUGAGCAUUUGAUUUUUUGAAAAUAAAGCAGUAUGCGAGCGCUUGACUAAAAAGAAAUUGUACAUUGAAAACUAGAUAAGUAAGUAAAAUAUAGAUUUUACCAAGCAAAACCGAGUGAAUAAAGAGUUUUAAAUAAGCUUGAAUUCAUAAGAAAUAAUCGCUAGUGUUCGAAAGAACACUCACAAGAUUAAUAACGCGUUUCCUGUAGGAUGGAAACAUA